AGAGCGAACGCUGGCGGCAGGCUUAACACAUGCAAGUCGAGCGGGCGUAGCAAUACGUCAGCGGCAGACGGGUGAGUAACGCGUGGGAACGUACCUUUUGGUUCGGAACAACACAGGGAAACUUGUGCUAAUACCGGAUAAGCCCUUACGGGGAAAGAUUUAUCGCCGAAAGAUCGGCCCGCGUCUGAUUAGCUAGUUGGUGAGGUAACGGCUCACCAAGGCGACGAUCAGUAGCUGGUCUGAGAGGAUGAUCAGCCACAUUGGGACUGAGACACGGCCCAAACUCCUACGGGAGGCAGCAGUGGGGAAUAUUGGACAAUGGGCGCAAGCCUGAUCCAGCCAUGCCGCGUGAGUGAUGAAGGCCCUAGGGUUGUAAAGCUCUUUUGUGCGGGAAGAUAAUGACGGUACCGCAAGAAUAAGCCCCGACUAACUUCGUGCCAGCAGCCGC
rnacentral:rRNA from 1 species